rnacentral:rRNA from 1 species
ACCUGGUUGAUCCUGCCAGUAGUCAUAUGCUUGUCUCAAAGAUUAAGCCAUGCAUGUCUCAGUAUAAGCUUCUAUACGGUGAAACUGCGAAUGGCUCAUUAAAACAGUUACAGUUUAUUUGAUGGUCAUUCCUUACAUGGAUAACUGUGGUAAUUCUAGAGCUAAUACAUGCGCCCAAACCCGACUCCGUGGAAGGGUUGUGUUUAUUAGUUACAGAACCAACCCAGGCUCUGCCUGGUCUUGUGGUGAUUCAUAAUAACCGAAUGAAUCGCAUUGCAUCAGCUGGCGAUGAAUCAUUCAAGUUUCUGACCUAUCAGCUUCCGACGGUAGUGUAUUGGACUACCGUGGCAAUGACGGGUAACGGAGAAUUAGGGUUCGAUUCCGGAGA